rnacentral:ncRNA from 1 species
CACCUCGAUGUCGGCUCAUCGCAGUCCUGGGGGCUGAAGUAGGUCCCAAGGGUUGGGCUGUUCGCCCAUUAAAGCGGUACGCGAGCUGGGUUCAGAACGUCGUGAGACAGUUCGGUCCCUAUCUGUCGCGGGCGCAGGAAGUUUGAGGAGAGCUGUCCUUAGUACGAGAGGACCGGGAUGGACGCACCGCUGGUGCACCAGUUGUCACGCCAGUGGCACAGCUGGGUAGCUAUGUGCGGAAGGGAUAAGCGCUGAAAGCAUCUAAGCGUGAAGCCCCCUCCAAGAUGAGACUUCCCACAGCGUUAAGCUGGUAAGACCCCUCAUAGACGAUGAGGUUGAUAGGUUCGGUGUGGAAGCGCGGCAACGCGUGGAGCUGACGAAUACUAAUCGGUCGAGGACUUAUCCAC